GAUGAACGCUAGCGGCAGGCCUAAUACAUGCAAGACGAACGGUAAGCUUUGUAGCAAUACGGAGCCUAGAGUGUCGUAAGGGUGCGUAACACGUAUGCAAUCUACCCUGUACAGGAGUAUAGCACCCCGAAAGGGGAAUUAACCCUCCAUAACAUAGUGAGUCGGCAACGACUUAUUAUUAAAACUGAGGUGGUACAGGAUUAGCAUGCUUCUGAUUAGCUAGUUGGUAGUGUAAUGGACUACAAAGGCAAUGAUCAGUAGGGGAACUGAGAGGUUGAUCCCCCACACUGGCACUGAGAUACGGGCCAGACUCCUACGGGAGGCAGCAGUAGGGAAUAUUGGACAAUGGGUGAUAGCCUGAUCCAGCCAUGCCGCGUGCAGGAAGAAGGCCUUCUGGGUUGUAAACUGCUUUUAUCUGGGGAUAAAAAGGCCUUGCGAGGCAAACUGAAGGUACCAGAUGAAUAAGCCACGGCUAACUACGUGCCAGCCGCCGCGGUAA
rnacentral:rRNA from 1 species